rnacentral:rRNA from 1 species
AGAGUUUGAUCCUGGCUCAGGAUGAACGCUAGCUACAGGCUUAACACAUGCAAGUCGAGGGGCAGCAUGGUCUUAGCUUGCUAAGGCCGAUGGCGACCGGCGCACGGGUGAGUAACACGUAUCCAACCUGCCGUCUACUCUUGGACAGCCUUCUGAAAGGAAGAUUAAUACAAGAUGGCAUCAUGAGUCCGCAUGUUCACAUGAUUAAAGGUAUUCCGGUAGACGAUGGGGAUGCGUUCCAUUAGAUAGUAGGCGGGGUAACGGCCCACCUAGUCUUCGAUGGAUAGGGGUUCUGAGAGGAAGGUCCCCCACAUUGGAACUGAGACACGGUCCAAACUCCUACGGGAGGCAGCAGUGAGGAAUAUUGGUCAAUGGGCGAGAGCCUGAACCAGCCAAGUAGCGUGAAGGAUGACUGCCCUAUGGGUUGUAAACUUCUUUUAUAAAGGAAUAAAGUCGGGUAUGGAUACCCGUUUGCAUGUACUUUAUGAAUAAGGAUCGGCUAACUCCGUGCCAGCAGCCGCGGUAAUACGGAGGAUCCGAGCGUUAUCCGGAUUUAUUGGGUUUAAAGGGAGCGUAGAUGGAUGUUUAAGUCAGUUGUGAAAGUUUGCGGCUCAACCGUAAAAUUGCAGUUGAUACUGGAUAUCUUGAGUGCAGUUGAGGCAGGCGGAAUUCGUGGUGUAGCGGUGAAAUGCUUAGAUAUCACGAAGAACUCCGAUUGCGAAGGCAGCCUGCUAAGCUGCAACUGACAUUGAGGCUCGAAAGUGUGGGUAUCAAACAGGAUUAGAUACCCUGGUAGUCCACACGGUAAACGAUGAAUACUCGCUGUUUGCGAUAUACUGCAAGCGGCCAAGCGAAAGCGUUAAGUAUUCCACCUGGGGAGUACGCCGGCAACGGUGAAACUCAAAGGAAUUGACGGGGGCCCGCACAAGCGGAGGAACAUGUGGUUUAA